rnacentral:rRNA from 1 species
UACGUAGGUUGCAAGCGUUGUCCGGAAUUAUUGGGCGUAAAGCGCGCGCAGGCGGUUCCUUAAGUCUGAUGUGAAGGCCCACGGCUCAACCGUGGAGGGUCAUUGGAAACUGGGGAACUUGAGUGCAGAAGAGGAAAGUGGAAUUCCACGUGUAGCGGUGAAAUGCGUAGAGAUGUGGAGGAACACCAGUGGCGAAGGCGACUUUCUGGUCUGCAACUGACACUGAGGCGCGAAAGCGUGGGGAGCGAACAGG